UCCCUCUCAGGGUCACACCUGGAGAGUUCCCAGUACUCUGCCAGUCUCGACUACAGGAGGGAGAGUCAGGCAGAGGCCUAUCCAUUCCAUUCCUAGCUUGGGCAGUGGCUAGCAAGUGGAAGGCAAUCUGCUACAAGU